rnacentral:rRNA from 1 species
AUUGAACGCUGGCGGCAGGCCUAACACAUGCAAGUCGAACGAGCGGCGGACGGGUGAGUAAUGUCUGGGAAACUGCCCGAUGGAGGGGGAUAACUACUGGAAACGGUAGCUAAUACCGCAUACCAUCCGAUGUGCGCAGAUGGGAUUAGCUAGUAGGUGGGGUAACGGGUCACCUAGGCGACGAUCCCUAGCUGGUCUGAGAGGUUGACCCGCCACACUGGAACUGAGACACGGUCCAGACUCCUACGGGAGGCAGCAGUGGGGAAUAUUGCACAAUGGGCGAAAGCCUGAUACAGCCAUGCCGCGUUGGUGAAGAAGGCCUUCGGGUUGUAAAGCUCUUUCAGCGGGGAGGCGUUACCCGCAGAAGAAGCACCGGCUAACUCCGUGCCAGCAGCCGCGGUAAUAC